rnacentral:tRNA from 1 species
GUGCGGGCUCCGGCGGGCGGGUCCGGUCGGUGCGGCCCUCCGAGGCCCGCACCGGAGCGGGUCAGCCCGCCGGGGCCCGGUUCGGCCCCGGGGCCGUGCUCC